GACGAACGCUGGCGGCGUGCUUAACACAUGCAAGUCGAACGGAAAGGCCAUGCUUUUGUGGGGUGCUCGAGUGGCGAACGGGUGAGUAACACGUGAGUAACCUGCUCUUGACUUUGGGAUAACUUCAGGAAACUGGGGCUAAUACCGGAUAGGAGCUUCUGCUGCCUGGUGGGGGUUGGAAAGUUUCGGCGGUUGGGGAUGGACUCGCGGCUUAUCAUCUUGUUGGUGGGGUGGUGGCUUACCAAGGCUUUGACGGGUAGCCUGCCUGAGAGGGUGACCGGCCACAUUGGGACUGAGAUACGGCCCAGACUCCUACGGGAGGCAGCAGUGGGGAAUAUUGCACAAUGGGCGGAAGCCUGAUGCAGCAACGCCGCGUGCGGGAUGACGGCCUUCGGGUUGUAAACCGCUUUCGCCUGUUACGAAGCGUGAGUGACGGUAAUGGGUAAAGAAGCACCGGCUAACUACGUG
rnacentral:rRNA from 1 species